CCCUUAGACGUUCUGGGCCGCACGCGCGCUACACUGACCAGUGCAACAAGCAUCCGUCCUUGGCCGACAGGCCCGGGCAAUCUUUGAACGCUGGUCGUGAUGGGGAUAGACUUUUGCAAUUUUUGGUCUUCAACGAGGAAUUCCUAGUAAACGCAAGUCAUCAACUUGCAUUGAUUACGUCCCUGCCCUUUGUACACACCGCCCGUCGCACCUACCGAUUGAAUGGUCCGGUGAAAUCCUCGGAUCGAGCCGUGGGGCAACUCCGGUUCGAGAAGUUGAUUAAACCUUACCAUUUAGAGGAAGGUGAAGUCGUANCA
rnacentral:rRNA from 1 species